rnacentral:rRNA from 1 species
CUUGGUCAUUUAGAGGAAGUAAAAGUCGUAACAAGGUCUCCGUUGGUGAACCAGCGGAGGGAUCAUUACCGAGUUUACAACUCCCAAACCCCUGUGAACAUACCUUAAUGUUGCCUCGGCGGAUCAGCCCGCGCCCCGUAAAACGGGACGGCCCGCCAGAGGACCCAAACUCUAAUGUUUCUUAUUGUAACUUCUGAGUAAAACAAACAAAUAAAUCAAAACUUUCAACAACGGAUCUCUUGGUUCUGGCAUCGAUGAAGAACGCAGCAAAAUGCGAUAAGUAAUGUGAAUUGCAGAAUUCAGUGAAUCAUCGAAUCUUUGAACGCACAUUGCGCCCGCUGGUAUUCCGGCGGGCAUGCCUGUUCGAGCGUCAUUUCAACCCUCAAGCCCCCGGGUUUGGUGUUGGGGAUCGGCUCUGCCUUCUGGCGGUGCCGCCCCCGAAAUACAUUGGCGGUCUCGCUGCAGCCUCCAUUGCGUAGUAGCUAACACCUCGCAACUGGAACGCGGCGCGGCCAUGCCGUAAAACCCCAACUUCUGAAUGUUGACCUCGGAUCAGGUAGGAAUACCCGCUGAACUUAAGCAUAUCAAUAAGCGGAGGAA